GUGAAUCAUCGAAUUUUUGAACGCAAAUUGCACUCUCUUCUGAUAGUAUGCCUAUUUGAGGGUCAGCCUAAAAAAAAUCUACAUAGUCACUGUUUUCGCGGUGACAUUCGUCGGAAAUUGGGUCAUGUUAAACUUGUGGGUUUUAAGCGGCUCAAAAUUUUCUUUACGCAGUAUACGAGCGUUUCGAUGAUUUACUUCUUACACACGU
rnacentral:misc_RNA from 1 species